GCCAUCCUUCCAUCACCUGAGAUCCCAUCCAGUCUUUCAGUCAUGAGGAUCUUCGCCAUUCUUUCAGCUGUUCUCUUCAUGGUGCUGAUGGCUGCUCCAGCACUUGCUGAUCGACCAACAACAACACCCGGAAAUGCAACUGCUGAAUGCCGCCGUCUUAAUGGGUUCUGCCUUGGCCAUUGCCCACCAGGGAUGAAACGCAUUGGGAAGUGUGAUCCUCCAAGGCCAGUUUGCUGCCACUUUAUCAAAGCCAGGUAGUGUCACAUUGCUGGCUACUCAUAGCGGAUUCCUGGCUGACGUCCAUGGAUUGAGGAUUCAUUGAUCCUGCUUUGAUUCAUUGAUCCACUCAGCCAAUCAUCCAGCAUACUUCAGCUUCUCACCCAUGUACUCCCCCUUUCUCCCUCAGUAAAUUACCAUACAUCACCUAAUAGACCCGCACUUACCAUAUUUACAGAUGCUAACUUACAGGAACAUCACAGCAACCCCUUCUCCUGAUUUGCUACGUAUUUGCGCUUUUAAUGUAGCUUAUCUUAUGCUGAAUUGUCUUUCUCUUUAAGCUUAUUAAAACUAAGGCAUUUGAGCAUC